rnacentral:tRNA from 1 species
GGUGGCUCAGUGGUACAGUACUUGCCUUGCAUGCAUGAAGCCCUGGGUUCGAUUCCUCAGCACCA